GAUGAACGCUGGCGGCGUGCCUAAUACAUGCAAGUCGAGCGAACGGACGAGAAGCUUGCUUCUCUGAUGUUAGCGGCGGACGGGUGAGUAACACGUGGAUAACCUACCUAUAAGACUGGGAUAACUUCGGGAAACCGGAGCUAAUACCGGAUAAUAUUUUGAACCGCAUGGUUCAAAAGUAAAAGACGGUCUUGCUGUCACUUAUAGAUGGAUCCGCGCUGCAUUAGCUAGUUGGUAAGGUAACGGCUUACCAAGGCAACGAUGCAUAGCCGACCUGAGAGGGUGAUCGGCCACACUGGAACUGAGACACAGUCCAGACUCCUACGGGAGGCAGCAGUAGGGAAUCUUCCGCAAUGGGCGAAAGCCUGACGGAGCAACGCCGCGUGAGUGAUGAAGGUCUUCGGAUCGUAAAACUCUGUUAUUAGGGAAGAACAUAUGUGUAAGUAACUGUGCACAUCUUGACGGUACCUAAUCAGAAAGCCACGGCUAACUACGUGCCAGCAGCCGCGGUAAUACGUAGGUGGCAAGCGUUAUCCGGAAUUAUUGGGCGUAAAGCGCGCGUAGGCGGUUUUUUAAGUCUGAUGUGAAAGCCCACGGCUCAACCGUGGAGGGUCAUUGGAAACUGGAAAACUUGAGUGCAGAAGAGGAAAGUGGAAUUCCAUGUGUAGCGGUGAAAUGCGCAGAGAUAUGGAGGAACACCAGUGGCGAAGGCGACUUUCUGGUCUGUAACUGACGCUGAUGUGCGAAAGCGUGGGGAUCAAACAGG
rnacentral:rRNA from 1 species